rnacentral:rRNA from 1 species
AAUCAACGCUGGCGGCGUGCCUCAGACAUGCAAGUCGAACGAUUAAAGCUCUCUUCGGAGAGUGUAUAGAGUGGCGCACGGGUGAGUAACACGUAAGUAAUCUACCCUCGAGUGGGGAAGUAACGUCCGGAACGGACGCUAAUACCGCAUAAUGCAGCGGCACCGCAAGGUGACAGUUGUUAAAGGAGAAAUUCGCUUGAGGAGGAGCUUGCGGCAGAUUAGCUUGUUGGUAAGGUAACGGCUUACCAAGGCUACGAUCUGUAACCGGUCUUAGAGGACGGUCGGUCGACACUGACACUGAAUAACGGGUCAGACUCCUACGGGAGGCAGCAGUCGGGAAUUUUGG